UCUAAAUGCAGGGUCUGCUGUGCUGCGAGAUCGCGGAAGCCGGGCCCGGGUGUGCACCUGCUGGCCGCUCCCCGCCACCGGCGGGCCUGGGGUCCCCUUGAGCUCUUCCUCUUCCACCCUAGACUCGGAGCUCCGAGCCUCUGCUGGAACCGACUCUCCUCCGGCCCCGCCCAAAGCUGAGCUUCAGUGCCUCAAUUUGUGACACCUGAAAGCAGCAGAUUUUAAGACAUGGAGGUGGAGGAGCAUCUCCCUGACACCGGACCUGGACCGGACUCGUUUUGUCGGGUCCCAUUAGAACCAGGGCCACGCCACCCGACCCCCGUCUAGCCAGUCUCCCAGCCACGCACCGACAUUCAUGGCCAAGUUCACGCGCAGGUCCACGUCCUCAGCCCAGGCCUGCUGCACAGCGUCCUUGCACAGCACGGGAAAGAUGCCGCGG